GCCGAGGUGGCGGAACUGGCAGACGCGGUGGACUCAAAAUCCACUGGGGUUCACCCCCGUGAGGGUUCGACUCCCUCCCUCGGCACCA
rnacentral:tRNA from 1 species